CCUUUCAUAUGACAAUUUUCCAAUUCCUCGAUUCAUCCUAGUAUGCCCGUCUCUGAACCUUGUUCCAGUUUUGAUUCAUCCUUCUUAAAACAUGGGACACCAGAACUGCACACCAUAUUUCCAGGUGGGGUCUCACCAGCG